GGGUCGUUAGCUCAGUUGGUAGAGCAGUUGACUUUUAAUCAAUUGGUCGCAGGUUCGAAUCCUGCACGAUCCACCA
rnacentral:tRNA from 1 species